GCCAUUUGUAAGCUUCUUGAGAUCUUGGUUGUGCAGAAGAGGGACCUUGGAAUCCAUGGACUUUGCUUCUUAUCAGAACUGUGCUGGUUCUUCCAAAUGGACAAAGUGGGUUCUUCACUGCUCCAAGAUGUCCAGUUUGUGGUCAAUCCCAAGGAUUGAGGAUGAUGAGAGCUGUAAUCCCAAACAUCUGGAGGUUGCCAUGUCAGAGGAGCAAAGGAGAUUUAUGGAAGGCCUGCAUCCCUUUUUUGAAGAGUCUUAAGAAGAAGGAGGACCACUUCUAUGUUGGAGCUGCUCCAAGGAUGAAGAGUGCUGCUUCUUCCAGUGGGAGAAAAUGAGUCGUUCACUGCUCCAGGCUGUCCAGUUUGUGUCCAGUUCCAGUCCCAAGAAAUGGGGAUGGUGAGAGUUGUAAUCCCAAACAUCUGGAGGUUCUUAUGCCAGAGGAGCAAAAGAGGCACAUUCCUUACCUGAAGAGUCUUAAGAGGAAGGAAGGACCACUUCUAUGCUGGAGCUGCUCCAAGGCUGAGAAGGGAACUCCCUCCUCAUCUUUUCCAAAGGACCGAGAGCACGUUCCAGCGGUGUCAGCUGAGUUGUGGUGUAUCGAUGGUCCAAUCUUCUUCAAUCCUGGAGAGAAGUUCAAUGAUUCUCAACCGAAGCAGAAUACAAUUGAUCUAGGACUAUAGGCCUUGCCAAAACAGCGUAAAUGAUGUCACAAAACUGUCGAAAGUCGUGGCUGCUCCCUUCCUGGAAAGCCUGUAUGGCCUCCUAUAUGGCCUCCUUUUUGUCUGCUGGUUUCCAUAUAUAGUCUGGCAUCCAAAUGGUGAAUGUCUUAUCCACAUAACGGAACCACAGAGUGGGCUUUUCUGUUGCUGUUUCCAGAGCUUUGGUUUUAGAAUGAUUGGGCUUGAAUUCCUUGAGGAGUUUCUCAGCUCGGUUGUACUCCUUGUUCUUGAUGCAAGCAACAGCUGCAGCUUCUGCUACCCUUUGCUCUAUUUAUUUGGGCUUGAAUCCCUUACGGACUUUCUCAGCUCGGU
rnacentral:lncRNA from 11 species